AUGGCUUCAAGGGCGAUCAUUAGGAGAAGGAAACGUCUUUUGGAUAAUGUUAACACACCUAUCCUGUCAUCAUCCUUCUCUACCUUCCAGCAUGGGGCAUUUGGUUUCAAGGGGGACUCAAAAUCUGACAAGGAGCAGUAUAAUGUGAAUUUGACAAAGGGUGGUCUGCUAGGUCUUGGUAAUGGGUUUCCGCAGCGACCAGCUCAUGUGAUUUCUCUUCAUGGUUAUGGAAUUGGAAGAAGUAAUGAAUUUGCAUUGCCUUUUGGAGCUAGAGGUUUGUUGCAGUCAAUCCGCAGAGCAUCAACCGCAACUGCUGGGCAACCUAAGUUGGAUACCGAAGAAGAACAGAGUGAGCAUCAGAAGCAGAAUAAAAAGAAAAAGGAGGCAUCCCCAGAAGAAUGUGACCAGGCUGUGGAAGGCCUAAGCACAGCAAAAGCUAGAGCCAAAGCCAAGCAGGUGCAAGAAUCUCUAAAGGCUAGCCGAUCAAUCGUACAAAAAUUCUGGGCAAGGCUUCUGGGUAUUGGCCCUGCUCUCCGAGCUAUUGCUUCAAUGAGUAGAGCUGACUGGGCUGUAAAGCUGAAGCAUGGGAAGGAUGAAUUUAUUUCUAGACUGCAGCAUUACUGGUUAGGAACAAAGCUACUUUGGGCAGAUGUUAGGAUUUCAUCAAGAUUGCUGGUGAAGCUUGCUGGUGGAAAGAGCCUGUCAAGGAGAGAGAGGCAACAACUCACCCGUACAACAGCUGAUAUCUUCAGGCUGGUACCUGUUGCUGUGUUUAUCAUUGUUCCGUUCAUGGAAUUCUUAUUGCCGGUGUUUCUCAAGUUGUUUCCAAACAUGCUGCCAUCCACUUUUCAAGACAAGAUGAAAGAAGAGGUUUGUGAUGCAACAAUAAUAAUUACUAAGUGCACUUGUAUGAUUAUACUGUUUAGCUAUUACAUUUCUAAGCAUUCUAUUAUGCCACCAUGUAUGUCACAACUUAUGAUGCAUGGGUUACCUGCCCUGUGUUAA
rnacentral:rRNA from 1 species